GAUGAAGAACGCAGCGAAAUGCGAUAAGUAAUGUGAAUUGCAGAAUUCAGUGAAUCAUCGAAUCUUUGAACGCACAUUUCGCCCGCCAGCACUCUGGCGGGCAUGCCUGUCCGAGCGUCAUUUCAACCCUCAGGGCCCCUUCGGGGGACCUGGCGUUGGGGAUCGGCCCGCCCCCGUGCGGCGCCGUCCCCGAAAUAUAGUGGCGGUCUCGCUGCAGCCUCCCCUGCGUAGUAGCACACCUCGCACUGGAGAGCGGCGCGGCCACGCCGUGAAACCCCCAACUUCUGAAUGUUGACCUCGGAUCAGGUAGGAAUACCCGCUGAACUUAAGCAUAUCAAUAAGCGGAGGA
rnacentral:misc_RNA from 1 species